CAAUCCCGUGGCGCGCCAUUCUUACAUCCGUACCGGUGUGGUUGAAUAUCUUCGCACAAUGGGGAGGAAUUUGGGGACUCUUCACGACAAUGACACAUACCCCGACCUAUUUCAACGUCAUCCAUGGACUUAAUAUUCGAGCGACUGGUUUCCUCUCUGGCCUUCCACACAUUUUGCGCACGAUUUUCGCGUAUAUCUUCUCGCAAUUCGGAGACUAUUUGCUCAAAGCCAACAAAAUGACCAGGACAAACGUGCGAAAAUUGGCAGUAGCCAUAUGUUGUGGGGUGCAGGGAAUUUGCAUGUUAGCACUUGCAUUUGCCGGAUGUGACUACAUCGCCGCCAUUAUCUUCCUGACCGGAGCAACGACAAGUCACGGCAGUGUUUCUACUGGCUCAAUGGCAAGCUUUGUCGACUUGAGUCCAAAUUAUGCAAGUGAGUAACAAUCUAUGAUUUCAAAAGCCACU